rnacentral:rRNA from 1 species
AACACAUGCAAGUCGAACGGUGAAGGAGAGCUUGCUCUUUGGAUCAGUGGCGAACGGGUGAGUAACACGUGAGCAAUCUGCCCCUGACUCUGGGAUAAGCGUUGGAAACGACGUCUAAUACUGGAUACGAGCUGCGACCGCAUGGUCAGCAGUUGGAAAGAUUUUUCGGUCAGGGAUGAGCUCGCGGCCUAUCAGCUUGUUGGUGAGGUAAUGGCUCACCAAGGCGUCGACGGGUAGCCGGCCUGAGAGGGUGACCGGCCACACUGGGACUGAGACACGGCCCAGACUCCUACGGGAGGCAGCAGUGGGGAAUAUUGCACAAUGGGCGGAAGCCUGAUCCAGCAACGCCGCGUGAGGGAUGACGGCCUUCGGGUUGUAAACCUCUUUCGCCUGUGACGAAGCCCUUGGUUUUUGUUGGGGGUGACGGUAGUGGGUAAAGAAG